rnacentral:rRNA from 1 species
AUGACGUGCUGAGUGGCGGACGGGUGAGUAACGCGUGGGUACCUGCCUUAUACAGGGGGAUAACAGUUAGAAAUGACUGCUAAUACCGCAUAAGAUUGCAUGAUAAAAACUCCGGUGGUAUAAGAUGGACCCGCGUCUGAUUAGCUGGUUGGUGAGGUAACGGCCCACCAAGGCGACGAUCAGUAGCCGACCUGAGAGGGUGACCGGCCACAUUGGGACUGAGACACGGCCCAAACUCCUACGGGAGGCAGCAGUGGGGAAUAUUGCACAAUGGGGGAAACCCUGAUGCAGCGACGCCGCGUGAGCGAAGAAGUAUUUCGGUAUGUAAAGCUCUAUCAGCAGGGAAGAAAAAAAUGACGGUACCUGACUAAGAAGCCCCGGCUAACUACGUGCCAGCAGCCGCGGUAAUACGUAGGGGGCAAGCGUUAUCCGGAUUUACUGGGUGUAAAGGGAGCGCAGGCGGUGCGGCAAGUCUGAUGUGAAAGCCCGGGGCUCAACCCCGGGACUGCAUUGGAAACUGUCGUACUUGAGUAUCGGAGAGGUAAGUGGAAUUCCUAGUGUAGCGGUGAAAUGCGUAGAUAUUAGGAGGAACACCAGUGGCGAAGGCGGCUUACUGGACGAUAACU